AACGUUUUGCCUUUUACUCCAUCUGUUCUUAUCAGUUUAAUAUCUGAUACGUCCCCAUCGGGGACUACAUAUUAAAUGGAUUUUUCGAACAGGGAGUCGGAAAUGGGGCUUGCUCCGUCCGCCUCCACGAUCGACCCGGUAUUGCAGUACCUCCGGGAACGGUGCAACACUU
rnacentral:snRNA from 1 species